GUAGGUGGCAAGCGUUGUCCGGAAUUAUUGGGCGUAAAGCGCGCGCAGGCGGUUCUUUAAGUCUGAUGUGAAAGCCCACGGCUCGAACCGUGGAGGGUCAUUGGAAACUGGAGAACUUGAGUACAGAAGAGGAAAGCGGAAUUCCACGUGUAGCGGUGAAAUGCGUAGAGAUGUGGAGGAACACCAGUGGCGAAGGCGGCUUUCUGGUCUGUAACUGACGCUGAGGCGCGAAAGCGUGGGGAGCAAACAGGAUUAGAUACCCUGGUAGUCCACGCCGUAAACGAUGAGUGCUAAGUGUUAGGGGGUUUCGCCCCCUUAGUGCUGCAGCUAACGCAUUAAGCACACCGGCCUGGGAGUACGGCCGCAAAGGCUG
rnacentral:rRNA from 1 species